UACGUAGGGUGCAAGCGUUAUCCGGAAUUAUUGGGCGUAAAGAGCUCGUAGGCGGUUUGUCGCGUCUGCUGUGAAAACCGGAGGCUCAACCUCCGGCCUGCAGUGGGUACGGGCAAACUAGAGUGCGGUAGGGGAGAUUGGAAUUCCUGGUGUAGCGGUGGAAUGCGCAGAUAUCAGGAGGAACACCGAUGGCGAAGGCAGAUCUCUGGGCCGUAACUGACGCUGAGGAGCGAAAGCUAGGGGAGCGAACGGG
rnacentral:rRNA from 1 species